rnacentral:rRNA from 1 species
GUGAGGAAUAUUGCGCAAUGGAGGCAACUCUGACGCAGCCAUGCCGCGUGCAGGAAGAAGGCGCUACGCGUUGUAAACUGCUUUUAACCGGGAAGAAACCCCAGGACGUGUCCUGGGUUGACGGUACCGGAGGAAUAAGCACCGGCUAACUUCGUGCCAGCAGUCGCGGUAAUACGAAGGGUGCAAGCGUUAUCCGGAUUCAUUGGGUUUAAAGGGUGCGUAGGCGGAGCGUUAAGUCAGUGGUGAAAUCCUGCAGCUUAACUGUAGACUUGCCAUUGAUACUGGCGCUCUUGAGUGCGCUUGAAGUGGGCGGAAUGUGUCGUGUAGCGGUGAAAUGCUUAGAUAUGGCACAGAACACCAAUUGCGAAGGCAGCUCACUAAGGCGAUACUGACGCUGAGGCACGAAAGCGUGGGGAUCGAACAGGAUUAGAAACCCGUGUAGUCC